rnacentral:rRNA from 1 species
GGUUAAGCGACUAAGCGUACACGGUGGAUGCCCUGGCAGUCAGAGGCGAUGAAGGACGUGCUAAUCUGCGAAAAGCGUCGGUAAGGUGAUAUGAACCGUUAUAACCGGCGAUGUCCGAAUGGGGAAACCCAGUGCAAUUCGUUGCACUAUCGUUAACUGAAUACAUAGGUUAACGAGGCGAACCGGGGGAACUGAAACAUCUAAGUACCCCGAGGAAAAGAAAUCAACCGAGAUUCCCCCAGUAGCGGCGAGCGAACGGGGAGCAGCCCAGAGUCUGAAUCAGCUUGUGUGUUAGUGGAACGGUCUGGAAAGUCCGACGGUACAGGGUGAUAGUCCCGUACACCAAAAUGCACAGGUUGUGAACUCGAAGAGUAGGGCGGGACACGUGGUAUCCUGUCUGAAUAUGGGGGGACCAUCCUCCAAGGCUAAAUACUCCUGACUGACCGAUAGUGAACCAGUACCGUGAGGGAAAGGCGAAAAGAACCCCGGCGAGGGGAGUGAAAAAGAACCUGAAACCGUGUACGUACAAGCAGUGGGAGCACCUUUAUGGUGUGACUGCGUACCUUUUGUAUAAUGGGUCAGCGACUUAUAUUCUGUAGCAAGGUUAACCGUAUAGGGGAGCCGCAGGGAAACCGAGUCUUAACUGGGCGUUAAGUUGCAGGGUAUAGACCCGAAACCCGGUGAUCUAGCCAUGGGCAGGUUGAAGGUUGGGUAACACUAACUGGAGGACCGAACCGACUAAUGUUGAAAAAUUAGCGGAUGACUUGUGGCUGGGGGUGAAAGGCCAAUCAAACCGGGAGAUAGCUGGUUCUCCCCGAAAGCUAUUUAGGUAGCGCCUCGUGAAUUCAUCUUCGGGGGUAGAGCACUGUUUCGGCUAGGGGGUCAUCCCGACUUACCAACCCGAUGCAAACUACGAAUACCGAAGAAUGUUAUCACGGGAGACACACGGCGGGUGCUAACGUCCGUCGUGAAGAGGGAAACAACCCAGACCGCCAGCUAAGGUCCCAAAGUCAUGGUUAAGUGGGAAACGAUGUGGGAAGGCACAGACAGCCAGGAUGUUGGCUUAGAAGCAGCCAUCAUUUAAAGAAAGCGUAAUAGCUCACUGGUCGAGUCGGCCUGCGCGGAAGAUGUAACGGGGCUAAACCAUGCACCGAAGCUGCGGCAGCGACACGAUGUGUUGUUGGGUAGGGGAGCGUUCUGUAAGCCUGCGAAGGUGACCUGUGAGGGUUGCUGGAGGUAUCAGAAGUGCGAAUGCUGACAUAAGUAACGAUAAAGCGGGUGAAAAGCCCGCUCGCCGGAAGACCAAGGGUUCCUGUCCAACGUUAAUCGGGGCAGGGUGAGUCGACCCCUAAGGCGAGGCCGAAAGGCGUAGUCGAUGGGAAACAGGUUAAUAUUCCUGUACUUGGUGUUACUGCGAAGGGGGGACGGAGAAGGCUAUGUUAGCCGGGCGACGGUUGUCCCGGUUUAAGCAUGUAGGCUGGUUAUCCAGGCAAAUCCGGAUAAUCAAGGCUGAGGUGUGAUGACGAGGCACUACGGUGCUGAAGUAACAAAUGCCCUGCUUCCAGGAAAAGCCUCUAAGCAUCAGGUAACAUCAAAUCGUACCCCAAACCGACACAGGUGGUCAGGUAGAGAAUACCAAGGCGCUUGAGAGAACUCGGGUGAAGGAACUAGGCAAAAUGGUGCCGUAACUUCGGGAGAAGGCACGCUGGUGUGUAGGUGAAGCCCCUGCGGGUGGAGCUGAGACCAGUCGAAGAUACCAGCUGGCUGCAACUGUUUAUUAAAAACACAGCACUGUGCAAACACGAAAGUGGACGUAUACGGUGUGACGCCUGCCCGGUGCCGGAAGGUUAAUUGAUGGGGUUAUCCGUAAGGAGAAGCUCUUGAUCGAAGCCCCGGUAAACGGCGGCCGUAACUAUAACGGUCCUAAGGUAGCGAAAUUCCUUGUCGGGUAAGUUCCGACCUGCACGAAUGGCGUAAUGAUGGCCAGGCUGUCUCCACCCGAGACUCAGUGAAAUUGAACUCGCUGUGAAGAUGCAGUGUACCCGCGGCAAGACGGAAAGACCCCGUGAACCUUUACUAUAGCUUGACACUGAACAUUGAGCCUUGAUGUGUAGGAUAGGUGGGAGGCUUUGAAGCGUGGACGCCAGUCUGCGUGGAGCCAACCUUGAAAUACCACCCUUUAAUGUUUGAUGUUCUAACGUUGGCCCCUGACCGGGGUUGCGGACAGUGUCUGGUGGGUAGUUUGACUGGGGCGGUCUCCUCCCAAAGCGUAACGGAGGAGCACGAAGGUUAGCUAAUCCUGGUCGGACAUCAGGAGGUUAGUGCAAUGGCAUAAGCUAGCUUGACUGCGAGCGUGACGGCGCGAGCAGGUGCGAAAGCAGGUCAUAGUGAUCCGGUGGUUCUGAAUGGAAGGGCCAUCGCUCAACGGAUAAAAGGUACUCCGGGGAUAACAGGCUGAUACCGCCCAAGAGUUCAUAUCGACGGCGGUGUUUGGCACCUCGAUGUCGGCUCAUCACAUCCUGGGGCUGAAGUAGGUCCCAAGGGUAUGGCUGUUCGCCAUUUAAAGUGGUACGCGAGCUGGGUUUAGAACGUCGUGAGACAGUUCGGUCCCUAUCUGCCGUGGGCGCUGGAGAAUUGAGGGGGGCUGCUCCUAGUACGAGAGGACCGGAGUGGACGCAUCACUGGUGUUCGGGUUGUCAUGCCAAUGGCACUGCCCGGUAGCUAAAUGCGGAAGAGAUAAGUGCUGAAAGCAUCUAAGCACGAAACUUGCCCCGAGAUGAGUUCUCCCUGAGACUAUAAGUCUCCUGAAGGAACGUUAAAGACGAUGACGUUGAUAGGCCGGGUGUGUAAGCGCAGCGAUGCGUUGAGCUAACCGGUACUAAUGAACCGUGAGGCUUAACCUU